UUCUACUGCCAUACCACCCUGAACGUAUCUGAUCUUGGAAGCUAAGCAGUUUUGGGCCUGGUUAGUAACUGGAAGGGAGAGGGAUGUUUGAUCCGGCAAUUACUGAAG
rnacentral:rRNA from 1 species